CCCUGCCAUUUGUACACACCGCCCGUCGCUCCUACCGAUUUCGGGUGUUCAGGUGAACCUUCUGGACUGAGAACGCAAGUUUUCGGGAAGUUAGGUAAAUCUUAACACCUAGAGGAAGGAGAAGUCGUAACAAG
rnacentral:rRNA from 1 species